rnacentral:rRNA from 1 species
AUGAAAAUAUUGUCGUGGAACUGCCAUGGUUUGGGUAACGCUGCAGCAAUUCGUGCCCUGCUGGAAGUCCAGCGCUCUUGUAACCCCGAGGUAAUGUUCCUGUCGGAGACACACCUUGACGAUUAUCCGGCUGAGUGUUUAAGGAGGAAAUUGCAGAUGGAUGUGAAGGUUGUUUCGGUCAGUGAUGGCCGGAAAGGUGGACUAGCAAUGUUCUGGAAGAGGGACUCGGGUGUCCAACUAAUCUAUGCAUCACCAAACUAUAUUGAUGUUAAAAUUGAGGACUCAAGUGGCGAAGAAUGGAGGUUUACUGGGAUGUAUGGAGAAUUUAAGUGGCAAGAAAAAUAUAGGACUUGGAACCGUAUGAGGAUGUUGGAGCAGCAGAAUAAUCUCCCAUGGGUGAUUGCGGGAUACCUGAAUGAAAUUUUGCAACUAUCUGAAAAAGAAGGAGGUAAUCCGAGGCCAAUGCAAUAUAUGGAUGCAUUUAGAGAUGCACUCACUGACUGCAAUCUUGAGGAUAUUGGUUUUGUAGGUGACAAAUUCACAUGGAGGAGAGGACGUCUUCGGGAAAGACUAGACCGAGCUGCUGCUAACUCGGGAUGGCCCCAGAUGCACCCUCUUGCUGCGCUGAUAAAUAUGGAGUUUAACCACUCAGGAUCAUCGCCCUAUACUGCUAGAUACUGA